UACAGAGGUCUCGAGCGUUAGGCGGAAUCACUGGGCUUAAAGCGUGUGUAGGCGGAUUGCUAAGUACCUUGUGAAAUCCCACGGCUUAACCGUGGAACUGCUUGGUAUACUGGCUGUCUUGAGCCACUUAGGGGCGACCGGAACAAACGGUGGAGCGGUGAAAUGCGUAGAUAUUCGGAAGAACACCAGUGGCGAAGGCGACUGACUGGACAGAUAUUGACGCUGAGGUGCGAAAGCGUGGGGAGCAAACAGG
rnacentral:rRNA from 1 species